rnacentral:snRNA from 1 species
GUGCUUGCUUAGGCAGCAUAUAUACUAAAAUUGGAAUGAUACAGAGAAGAUUAGCAUGGCCCCUGUGCAAGAAUGAUAUACAAAUUUGUGAAGUGUUCCAUGUUUUU